AUGGCCAAAUUACGCUGAAACACCGGUUCGCGUAUGCUCACCGAAUUUAAAAAACGUCGAGCCUGGUCAGUACUUAGAUCGGUGACCGCUUGGGAAUACCAGGUGCUGUAAGC